rnacentral:lncRNA from 1 species
AGUUCAUGUAAAAACUCACUAAGUGACUUAAUGAGUUUUAUAUAAUAAAUGUGGUGCCAUCACUGGGACUUUUUAAACGUCAAAAUAAAAUUCUGUUUUCUAACCUACACAUUCUUAGAUUAAUUUAUUAUUUUUGUUGUACCGUAGUGUGAAUAUAAUUUGACUUUUCUCAGUGAUUAUUUGUUUAGAAAAUGUACUCAAACCGCACAAAUAAGUUACUCCAACUGGCAUUACGGGGCAAAAACCAAGAAGAUAAUGGAUGUCAAAAUAUUAUCACAAAUGAUGAGCCGAGCAUUGGAAAUGAAAAUAUUUUAAAUAAUAUUCCAAAUAGAGAUAUAACUGACACUAGCGCACAAGAGUUAUUUGCAGAUAAUAUUGAAAAUAUCCCACCAGCGCCAGCGGUCAAUAAUGAAUUCGAAAAUGUAAAUCAAUCAAAUGAACUCGUGCCAUUAUCUGCUAUUAAACUUAUGGACGAAAAUGUUGAAAUCUUUGUUCCCGAGGAAUUUGAAGCUUUAAUUAAUAAUGCUGUUUGUGAUGUGUCUAAACUGGAGAAUAAUAAUGAAUUGCAAAAUCAAAUGACCACACUUCAUUGCCAAACACUUUUGAGUAUGACACUGUCAGAAAUAUUAAAUGUUUAGAACCAACUACCUUAGCAAGUCCACAACCUGAUCAAAAAGUUACAGAAUACAUUGUAGAUGAAAAUAGCGAAUUUUUGAUCGAAGCUUCUAUAACAAAUAAUCAAAUUCAAAAUUUAGGAAAAAAAUUAUUGAAUCUACCUUAUUCCUCAUCAGACGAAGAAACAGAUGACUCUUCACUUGAUCUUUUUUCUUUAAGGCAUCGUCUUCUAAGGAAGAGAGUGACAAAAACUUACGAUAAUGGUCGCUGCAAGAAAGUAAUAACAAGAUGGAGGAAAAGUGAUCCAGCUAAAUGGAAUAGAAACGAAUAUAAAAGAAACAUGAGUAAAUGUCUAGAAUACUCAACAACCAAAGGGAGAGUACGACCGGCAAAAACUCCUCAGAAUAGCUCCUGUGGGAAUUUAUGUAGAUUCAAGUGCACCACCAUAUUUGAUGAAGACGAUAGAAAACAAAUUUGUAAAGAAUACUGAGGACUUAAAGCUUAUGAGCGCAAAAUGGAUUUUAUUUUAAGAAAUGUUGAUGUAGAGGAGCCUCAAAGAAGACCAAGGAAAGGUCAAAAUAGCAAGAUAAGAUCAAAUGCAAAAAAAUACCAUUUUUAUAAAGGUACUAACAAGAUAAGAAUUUGUCAAUCAUUUUUUAUGAAAAUGCUUAAUAUAAAUAAUGGUCCUAUUUUGACAGCUUUUAAAAAGAGAAAUUCUUUGGGUGUAUUCAAAGGUAAAGAUGAAAGACGAAAAAAAGCUUCUGUUAAUAAAACUUCCGAUUCUGACAUAGAUAUUGUAAAAGCCCACAUUGCAAGUUUUCCAACAAUGGAAAGUCAUUACAAUCGAAAAUCUUCAAAACGACUCUAUUUAGAUCGUAAGCUAUCAAUCUCAAAGAUGUAUUUACGACCUAUACCGGGCCUACUGUUUAAAGAAUAAUUUUAAAUCAGUUUCUUCCCAUGCAUAUAGAAAAAAUUUUUGCACAUCUUAUAAUAUUUCUUUUUUUUAAGCCAAAAAAAGAUCAGUGCGCAACUUGUAAUCGGUAUUAAAAUUCUAACAUUCAAGACCGCUGUAACUUGGAAGAUACAUACCAAAAUCAUAUUACUCGGAAAAACGAAGCAGCCCGAUCAAAAGAAAUUGAUAAAGCUGCUUUGGAAGACAUUAUCAUGGUUACGUUCCAUUUACAAUCUCUGUUACAGAUUCCAUCUUCCGAUGUUUCACCGAUGUAUUACAGCCGAAAAAUUAAUAUGUAUAACUUAACUAUUUAUGAAGCUCCAGAACCACACAGAGCAUACUGCUUUGCAUGGACUGAACUACAUGGAAAGCGAGGUAGCUGUGAAAUUGGAACAUCACUGUAUAAUUGCUUUAUAGGCUUAAAGCCGGACACGUAACCUUAUAUUCGGAUACAUGCGAUGGACAAAACCGAAACCAGAAUAUUGCUGCUCUAUUUCUUUAUAUUGUUCAAACAACUGCGGUUGAUAUCAUAGAGCAUAAAUUCUUAGAAAGUGGCCACAGCUACAUGGAGGUUGAUUCCAUGCACAGUGCCAUUAAAAAAGAGAAAAAAUAUCAAUCAGUUUAUGUAGUCAAUGACUGGAUAAGUAUUUUUAAACGAGCUAGAUCCAAACGUAACCGAAAUAAAUUUGGAGAUCCAUUCAUCACCAAAGAGUUUAAGUUUAAUGAAUUUCUUAAUUUACUGGAUUUGUCCAAGACUUUAUUUAGAAAUAAGACAACUGAUUGUAAUAAUGAUAAAGUAAACUGCUUGAAAGUAAAGUGCUUCAGAUUUCAGAAAAUACAGCCUGGUAUUCUUAAAUACCGCUAUGAUUAUUUUGGUGAAUAUAAAAGCAAUAAUAUUGAAAGAAAAUCGAGAGCCACUCAAAAAAUUGACUAUAGUACCUUGAAAAUAAGCAAGUUGUACAAAAAUAUGCUGCCAAUAUCCGUUAAAAAAAAGAAGACCUUUUAAAGUUAUGCGAAAAAGGAGUGAUACCUAAUGAGUACCACGGUUGGUAUAAAUCGCUGCCAAUAAGCACAAUAUUGAAUGAUGUAAUUCCUGAACCUGGAUAUUCUGACUCAG